AUUGAACGCUGGCGGCAGGCCUAACACAUGCAAGUCGAGCGGAUGAAGGGAGCUUGCUCCUGGAUUCAGCGGCGGACGGGUGAGUAAUGCCUAGGAAUCUGCCUGGUAGUGGGGGAUAAGUCCGGAAACGGGCGCUAAUACCGCAUACGUCCUGAGGGAGAAAGUGGGGGAUCUUCGGACCUCACGCUAUCAGAUGAGCCUAGGUCGGAUUAGCUAGUUGGUGGGGUAAAGGCCUACCAAGGCGACGAUCCGUAACUGGUCUGAGAGGAUGAUCAGUCACACUGGAACUGAGACACGGUCCAGACUCCUACGGGAGGCAGCAGUGGGGAAUAUUGGACAAUGGGCGAAAGCCUGAUCCAGCCAUGCCGCGUGUGUGAAGAAGGUCUUCGGAUUGUAAAGCACUUUAAGUUGGGAGGAAGGGCAGUAAGUUAAUACCUUGCUGUUUUGACGUUACCAACAGAAUAAGCACCGGCUAACUUCGUG
rnacentral:rRNA from 1 species